GAUGAACGCUGACAGAAUGCUUAACACAUGCAAGUCGACUGGAAUUUACCUUCGGGUAAUAGUACGGUGGCGGACGGGUGAGUAACGCGUAAAGAACUUGCCCUCUAGACUGGGACAACUGUUGGAAACGGCAGCUAAUACCGGAUAUUAUGAGAGUCUCGCAUGAGAAACUUAUGAAAGGCUAUAUGCGCUAGAGGAGAGCUUUGCGUGCCAUUAGGUAGUUGGUAGGGUAAUGGCCUACCAAGCCGACGAUGGCUAGCCGGCCUGAGAGGGUGAUCGGCCACAAGGGGACUGAGACACGGCCCUUACUCCUACGGGAGGCAGCAGUGGGGAAUAUUGGACAAUGGACCAAAAGUCUGAUCCAGCAAUUCUGUGUGCACGAUGAAGGUUUUCGGAUCGUAAAGUGCUUUCAGGUGGGAAGAAAAAAAUGACGGUACCACCAGAAGAAGCGACGGCUAAAUACGUGCCAGCAGCCGCGGUAAUACGUAUGUCGCAAGCGUUAUCCGGAAUUAUUGGGCGUAAAGCGCGUCUAGGCGGCCUUUUAAGUCUGAUGUGAAAAUGCGGGGCUCAACUCCGUAUUGCGUUGGAAACUGGAAGGCUAGAGUAUCAGAGAGGUGGGCGGAACUACAAGUGUAGAGGUGAAAUUCGUAGAUAUUUGUAGGAAUGCCGAUUGGGAAGCCAGCUCACUGGAUGAAUACUGACGCUGAAGCGCGAAAGCGUGGGGAGCAAACGGGAUUAGAUACCCCGGUAGUCCACGCCGUAAACGAUGAUCACUAAGUGUGGGGGGUCGAACCUCCGUGCUCAAGCUAACGCGAUAAGUGAUCCGCCUGGGGAGUACGCACGCAAGUGUGAAACUCAAAGGAAUUGACGG
rnacentral:rRNA from 1 species